AUCACCUCUUGGGAUUUUGGCUAAGAGCAAGUGUAGUAUCUGUUCUUAUUAGUUCUAUAAGUUUUGAAAAAUGAACACUGGCAGAAUCAAGAACUAUUAUUUUAAAAGUAUGCUUUGCUAAUCAUCUUUAUCCUUCUGGCAACCCCUU
ensembl:snRNA U2 U2 spliceosomal RNA